CCCUUAGAUGUUCUGGGCCGCACGCGUGCUACACCGAGUGGAUCAGCGGGUCAGGUUGCGCGAAAGCGUUUCCUAAUCUUUAAAUCCGCUCGUGAUGGGGAUUGACGGUUGCAAUUUUCUGUCAUGAACGAGGAAUACCUUGUAAGCGCAGGUCAUCAUCCCGCGCUGAAUACGUCCCUGCCCUUUGUACACACCGCCCGUCGCUCCUACCGAUUGAGUGGUCCGGUGAGGCUUUGGGAUCUGAGCGGAAAGAGCGUUUCGCUGUUUCUGCUCGGAAAACUCAGUCGAACCUUAUCAUUUAGAGGAAGGAGAAGUCGUAACA
rnacentral:rRNA from 1 species